rnacentral:rRNA from 1 species
UACGUAGGGACCAAGCGUUGUUCGGAUUUACUGGGCGUAAAGGGCGCGUAGGCGGCAAUUCAAGUCACUUGUGAAAUCUCUGAGCUUAACUCAGAACGGUCAAGUGAUACUGCUUUGCUAGAGUGCAGAAGGGGCAACCGGAAUUCUUGGUGUAGCGGUGAAAUGCGUAGAUAUCUGGAGGAACACCGGUGGCGAAGGCGGCAUCCUGGACCAACACUGACGCUGAGGAGCGAAAGCCAGGGGAGCAAACGGG